rnacentral:rRNA from 1 species
ACGCUCGACACCUGGCAGCAGUGGGGAAUAUUGCACAAUGGGGGAAACCCUGAUGCAGCGACGCCGCGUGGAGGAAGAAGGUCUUCGGAUUGUAAACUCCUGUUGUUGGGGAAAAAGAGGAUGGUACCCAACAAGGAAGUGACGGCUAACUACGUGCCAGCAGCUGCGGUAAUCUGAGCGGGCUGGCAAGGC